rnacentral:rRNA from 1 species
UUAGGAAUAUUCGUCAAUGGGGGAAACCCUGAACGAGCAAUGCCGCGUGAGUGAUGAAGGUCUUUACGAUUGUAAAACUCUGUUGUUAGGGAAGAAACCUUACUAUAGGAAAUGAUAGUAAGCUGACGGUACCUAACCAGAAAGCCCCGGCUAACUACGUGCCAGCAGCCGCGGUAAUACGUAGGGGGCAAGCGUUAUCCGGAUUUAUUGGGCGUAAAGCGUGUGUAGGCGGUUUGUUAAGUAUAAGAUAAAAGCCUGAGGCUCAACCUCAGUUCGUCUUAUAAACUGGCAGGCUUGAGUAUGGUAGAGGCAAGUGGAAUUUCUAGUGUAGCGGUUAAAUGCGUAGAUAUUAGAAGGAACACCAGUGGCGAAGGCGGCUUGCUGGGCCAUUACUGACGCUGAGACACGAAAGCGUGGGGAGCAAAUAGG